UGCUCACCACACAUCCUGGCCACCAAGACUCGCAGUCCAAGUUACAGCAUUGAUGGCUGGGCCGUUACGUGAAUGAAGGAAAGAUCUCGGGCUCUGGAGCCACACCGACCUGGCUCACAUACGGGUUCUACCCUGACGACCCUCAUCUCUCUAGGCCUCAGAAACCUCUGCUGGAAAUGGGCCAACAAUGACCUCAAGGAGCUACGACGUCCAGUGCCUGGCUGGGCAGAGAGCAGUCCAAACAUGAUUAUGUAGGGUUCUUCACAAGUAAACAAGACACAGUUCCAGCCAGCGGAUGUAAAAGAUUUACAACAAACAGGAACCAGCAACCGCACCCAGCAGAGCCCAGGACCUGAGCUGAGCAUGUCCACUAGAAGACAAUCCGGCCACCAGAGGUUAAAGAGAUCUCAAUCGUCCCACUGCUCCAGAGAAAGAGAAACAGAUCAUCCCAUAUUCAGCAAUCUGGAAUCUUAGCUGUUUCAUGGAAGUUCAAGAAAUCUUAAAGCUUCCAGCUAGACAACGGAUGCCAACCCAGGUCACACCCUGACACAGCACCUGGGCUCCAUCCCCGACUUCAAAUGAUCUACAUAUUGCCACCGGUACAGCGGACUAAAGACCGCGAUUGUGUUUGCCCCAUCCCGCCUGAGGAGGAACCAGCAAGUUUCCACGCCUGAGUGGACACGCAGCCUCAGCUGGCACCGCCACACGUACCAAGGGAAGCAUGUCUAGCACUGAACGGGGAGGAGCCUUUCUCUCGUCCCCUUAGCUGGAUGCGGACAAUGCACUCACCUCAUUGAACACACCACGCUAUCUCACACCACUCCGCCUUUGUAUAUCACGUUGCCUUUGCCUAAAAUGCUCCUCCCUUUCUUAUUCAUCUGUAAAGUCUAUUCAUGAGAAGGGUGGUUGCACCAACACUUCUCUGAAGCCUUCCCUUCUCUUCUGCAAUCCUCAGUCUCUCUGCUCUACUACUUCUCUAGUUUGCUGUGAUCGUUUGUAUUGCUCUUCUGUCUCCCUCAUCCAUCUAGAAGCUCCUCCAGGACUGGACCUCUGUCUUCCUCAUCUUGUUUUUAAUCUCCAGCACUCAGCAAAAUAUUUGGCGUGU